rnacentral:lncRNA from 1 species
ACCUCAUCAGUGUGGGAUUUAAACACUUUCUCAUAUCGCAUGGCUACUUCCAAACUUCUCAGCAUUCUUUUCUUUGUGCUGUUGAGUGUAGGCAUUUGUUCCGCCGCAAGAUCACUACUUUUGAGUAUAGGUCACGGCAUUGGUGAUGAUGUCCAUGGUUCGAUUGGUGUUACUGGAGGAGGUUAUGGAGGUGGUGGAGGUUCAGGUGGAGGUGGAGGAUAUGGAGGCGUGGGGGCGCAUGGCGUAGGUGGUUACGGAGGUGGAGCUGGUGUAGGUGAAGGUGCAGGUGGAGGAUAUGGAGCAGCUGGUGGUGGCCAUGGUGGUGGUGGAGGAAGUGGAGGCGGUGGAGGCUCCGGCGGUGUUGCCGCUGGCGGAUAUGGAGGAGGAUCCGGAAAAGGAGGUGGGGAAGGGUACGGCGGGGGUGGAGGUCCUGGGGGUGGUUAUGGUGGCGGAG